AAAAAGUUUUAUUCUUGCUUAAAUGUUUGCUUUUUCUUUGAAUUAUAUGUAAGUUUUGUAAGACUGAAUGUUCUUUUAGCAGUAAUUUGAUUUAAUUAAUCAAGUGAUUUUGGAGUUAGCAAUUGAUUUAGUAUUGGCUUAAUUCGUGCCAGCAGCCGCGGUUAUACGAUUAAUACAAGUAAAUAUUAUUGGUUAUGGCAGUUAAUUAUAUUUUUGAAAUGAAUUUAAAAUUUUUAUGGUGAAAUUUAAAAUUUUUUUGUGUUUCUUUAUAUGAAUCUGUGAAACUUAAAUAAUAAACUAGGAUUAGAUACCCUAUUAUUUUAAGUGUUAAUUUAAUUUACCAGGGUAUUAUUAGUUAAGGUCUUUAAACCCAAAGAAUUUGGCGGUAUCUCAUUCCAUUCAGAGGAACCUACCCCGUGAUUGAUAGUACACGAUUAACUUUACUUAAUUUAUUUGUUUGUAUAUCUCCGUUAUCAGAAAAUCUUUUUAGAGUUAUAAUUUUCUUGAUUUAUAAUUAUAAAGUAUUUCAGGUCAAGGUGCAGCUUAUAAUUAAGAGGAGGUGGGUUACAAUAGGUUUUUGUUUAUAACGGAUUUGGUAGUGAAAUACUAUUAAUGAAGGUGGAUUUGAUAGUAAUUUAACAUAUUUAGUUUAACUGAUAUUGGCUCUGAGGUGUGUACACAUCGCCCGUCGCUCUCAUUAUUAAUAUUUAUUUAUUUUAUUUAUAAUAAAAUUUAAGUUAGAUGAGAUAAGUCGUAACAUAGUAGAUGUACUGGAAAGUGUAUCUAGAAAGAAUUU
rnacentral:ncRNA from 1 species